rnacentral:tRNA from 1 species
GUUUAUGGUUUAGGUUUAGGGUUUUGGGUUCGAAAUCUAGAGUUCAGGGUUUAAA